UACGUAGGGGGCAAGCGUUGUCCGGAAUUAUUGGGCGUAAAGAGCUCGUAGGCGGUCUGUCGCGUCUGCUGUGAAAACUCAGGGCUUAACCCUAAGCUUGCAGUGGGUACGGGCAGACUAGAGUGCGGUAGGGGAGACUGGAAUUCCUGGUGUAGCGGUGAAAUGCGCAGAUAUCAGGAGGAACACCGGUGGCGAAGGCGGGUCUCUGGGCCGUAACUGACGCUGAGGAGCGAAAGCAUGGGGAGCGAACAGG
rnacentral:rRNA from 1 species